rnacentral:rRNA from 1 species
GAACGAGAAAGUGGGCUUCGGCCCACGAGUACAGUGGCAGACGGGUGAGGAACGCGUGGGUAACCUGCCCGGUGGUGGGGGAUAACCCUUCGAAAGAGGGGCUAAUACCGCAUAACAUUCCGCGCUCUUCGGCGCGUGGAAUCAAGGCUAGCCUCUGCUUGCAAGCUAGCGCCGACGGAGGGGCCCGCGUCCCAUUAGCUUGUUGGUGAGGUAACGGCUCACCAAGGCUCCGAUGGGUAGCCGGCCUGAGAGGGUGACCGGCCACACUGGAACUGAGACACGGUCCAGACUCCUACGGGAGGCAGCAGUGAGGAAUUUUGCGCAAUGGGCGAAGGCCUGACGCAGCGACGCCGCGUGGAGGACGAAGGUCUUCGGAUCGUAAACUCCUGUCGAGCGGGACGAAUCCGGAGCGGAUGAAUAAGCCGCUCCGUUGACGGUACCGCUGGAGGAAGCCCCGGCUAACUCCGUGCCAGCAGCCGCGGUAAUACGGAGGGGGCCAGCGUUGUUCGGAAUUAUUGGGCGUAAAGGGCGCGUAGGCGGCCGUGCAAGUCGGAGGUGAAAGCCCUCGGCUCAACCGAGGAACUGCCUCCGAUACUGCACGGCUUGAGUCCCGGAGAGGGUAGCGGAAUUCCCAGUG